CGGAGGAGCAUGUGGUUUAAUUUCGAUGAUACGCGAGGAACCUUACCUGGGCUCGAACGUAAGAUGACUGUAGGUGAAAGCUUACAUCUCUUCGGAGCAUUUUACGAGGUGCUGCAUGGUUGUCGUCAGCUCGUGCCGUGAGGUGUCGGGUUAAGUCCCAUAACGAGCGCAACCCCUACCUUUAGUUGCCAUCAGGUUAAGCUGGGGACUCUAAAGGAACUGCCUACGCAAGUAGUGAGGGAGGCGGGGAUGACGUCAAAUCAGCACGGCCCUUACGUCCAGGGCUACACACGUGCUACAAUGGCCGAUACAGAGGGCAGCUACCUGGUGACAGGAUGCAAAUCUCCAAAGUCGGUCUCAGUUCGGAUCGGAGUCUGCAACCCGACUCCGUGAAGUUGGAUUCGCUAGUAAUCGCGCAUCAGCCAUGGCGCGGUGAAUACGUUCCCGGGCCUU
rnacentral:rRNA from 1 species